CCUACGGAGUGCAGCAGUGGGGGAUAUUGCACAAUGGGGGAAACCCUGAUGCAGCACCGCCGCGUGAGUGAAGAAGUAUUUCGGUAUGUAAAGCUCUAUCAGCCGGGAAGAGACUGCCGGUACCUGACUAAGAAGCCCCGGCUUACUACGUGCCAGCAGCCGCGGUAUUUCGUAGGGGGCGAGCGUUAUCCGGAUUUACUGGGUGUAAAGGGCGCGUACACGGCGGGUCAAGUCUGAGGGGAAGUCCCGGGGCUUAACACCGGAACGGCUUUGGAAACUGAGCAGCUAGAGUGCUGGAGAGGUAAGCGGAAUUCGUAGUGUAGCGGUGAAAUGCGUAGAUAUUAGGAGGAACACC
rnacentral:rRNA from 1 species